rnacentral:misc_RNA from 1 species
UAUCUUCUAAAUCAUCUCCUAAUAAUGAUUUAAUUCAAAUUCAUGAUUCAAUGAACUUAAAUUGAUGAUGUAGAAAACAGUAAUGAGAGGUUCCUGAAUCCUGGUCACCGCUGCUUUAUAAAUGGGUUUGAAACCCGAUAGCUCUACUCCAACUGAAAGUCGAGUACGGAUGUUUCUCCUCUUCCUCUCUAACUGAUAGAUUGUUGUAAGGAGUCAGCUAUGGACGUGCUUUCGCUUUCUUCUCCAGCAACCCCUCACUUAUGUUCCUCUCUCAGACCCUCUCUUCGUUCCUCUAAACCCUCUCCUCUCCCUUUUACUCUCAAUCCAAUCUCUUCUCCCAUAAAAAAUUUCCCAUCUCUCAAAACCUCCCUUCAAUCUUCUAAAACCCUAGCUCCCCAAUUGUCGGCUCCCCAGACGCCCGCCACCGCCAUGAAGGGAGCGGAGGCCGAUGCCAUGGGGCUUUUGCUGAGGGAGAGGAUUGUGUUCUUGGGGAGCAAUAUUGAUGACUUUGUGGCUGAUGCUACUAUUAGUCAAUUGUUGCUUUUGGAUGCUCAAGACCCAGCUAAAGAUAUCCGCCUCUUUAUUAAUUGUCCUGGAGGUUCUCUCAGUGCUACAAUGGCUAUCUAUGACGUUGUGCAACUUGUGAGAGCUGAUGUUUCCACAGUUGCCCUUGGCAUCUCAGCAUCAACAGCUUCUAUAAUCCUUGGUGGUGGCACAAUAGGCAAACGCUUUGCCAUGCCGAACACAAGGAUCAUGAUUCAUCAACCUCUGGGAGGAGCUAGUGGGCAAGCAAUAGAUGUGGAGAUUCAAGCACGAGAAAUUAUGCAUAACAAGAAUAAUGUCAUUAGAAUUAUUUCAGGUUUCACUGGUCGCACAACUGAACAAGUCCAGAAGGACAUUGAUAGAGAUCGAUAUAUGUCUCCAAUAGAAGCUGUUGAGUAUGGAAUAAUUGAUGGAGUUAUUGACAGAGAGAGCAUCAUUCCUUUGGCUCCUGUGCCAGAAAGGGUAAAACCUACACUAAAUUAUGAGGAAAUGCGUAAAGAUCCAAUGAAAUUCCUGACGCCGGAUGUCCCUGACGAUGAGAUAUACUAGCUUGUGCCAUUUGUUACAAGACAGACUCUCAGCGUAUUUGUUUAUUUUUCACAAAAAGAACUGUAAGGUUAGCGAGAACCCCCAACCAAAAGGCAUUUGUGUGCUAUGUUUGCAGAUAAAAUUGCUUUUAAGAAUGCAACUGGGCAGGCCAGCCGAAUUGCAAGGUUGCAGAGCUGAAAGGGGCCCCCCUUUUUUUUUUUUCAUAAUUUAAGCUGUAACCUUCAAUGUAUACUUUAUAAGUUAUUGCAAACUUGACCAUUAAAUUGAUCUUGAAAGAAAACAUGGGAUUAUUAGUAUAAAAUACCACUUGGAUUUUUUUAGCUUAAAGAAUU